GCAUAUCAAUAAGCGGAGGAAAAGAAACCAACUGGGAUUGCCUCAGUAACGGCGAGUGAAGCGGCAACAGCUCAAAUUUGAAAUCUGGCGCCUUGGGCGUCCGAGUUGUAAUUUGUAGAGGGAGUCUCGGGUUAAGGGUCGGUCCAAGUGCCUUGGAACAGGAUACCGAAGAGGGUGAGAGUCCCGUAUCCGGCCGACGCCAGCGCCCGUGUGAGGCCCCUUCGACGAGUCGAGUUGUUUGGGAAUGCAGCUCUAAAUGGGUGGUAAAUUCCAUCUAAAGCUAAAUACUGGCCAGAGACCGAUAGCGCACAAGUAGAGUGAUCGAAAGAUGAAAAGCACUUUGAAAAGAGAGUCAAACAGUACGUGAAAUUGUUGAAAGGGAAGCGUAUGUGGGCAGACUUGGACGCUGGAUUCAGGCCGYCUUCUGGCGGGUGYAUUUUCCAGCGGACAGGCCAGCAUCGGUUCUGAGGGCCGGACAAAGACGAAGGGAAUGUGGCUCCUCUCUGGGGAGUGUUAUAGCCCGGCGUGCAAUGCGGCCACUUGGGACCGAGGACCGCGCAUUUUGCAAGGAUGCUGGCGUAAUGGCCUCAUACGGCCCGUCUUGAAACACGGACC
rnacentral:rRNA from 1 species